rnacentral:rRNA from 1 species
CAGUCGCCGCGGGAAUACGUAGGGUGCAAGCGUUAAUCGGAAUUACUGGGCGUAAAGCGUGCGCAGGCGGUUCUAUAAGACAGAUGUGAAAUCCCCGGGCUCAACCUGGGAACUGCAUUUGUGACUGUAGAGCUGGAGUGCGGCAGAGGGGGAUGGAAUUCCGCGUGUAGCAGUGAGAUGCGUAGAUAUGCGGAGGAACACCGAUGGCGAAGGCAAUCCCCUGGGCCUGCACUGACGCUCAUGCACGAAAGCGUGGGGAGCAAACAGGAUUAGAUACCCCUGUAGUCCCUGUCUCUUAUAC